rnacentral:rRNA from 1 species
GCCCUUACAGUUACCUUGUUACGACUUCACCCCAGUCAUGAAUCACACCGUGGUAAACGCCCUCCCGAAGGUUAAGCUAUCUACUUCUGGUGCAACCCACUCCCAUGGUGUGACGGGCGGUGUGUACAAAGCCCGGGAACGUAUUCACCGCAACAUUCUGAUUUGCGAUUACUAGCGAUUCCGACUUCACGGAGUCGAGUUGCAGACUCCGAUCCGGACUACGACGCGCUUUUUGGGAUUCGCUCACUAUCGCUAGCUUGCAGCCCUCUGUACGCGCCAUUGUAGCACGUGUGUAGCCCUGGCCGUAAGGGCCAUGAUGACUUGACGUCAUCCCCACCUUCCUCCGGUUUAUCACCGGCAGUCUCCCUUGAGUUCCCACCAUUACGUGCUGGCAACAAAGGACAGGGGCUGCGCUCGUUGCGGGACUUAACCCAACAUCUCACUACACGAGCUGACGACAGCCAUGCAGCACCUGUGUUCUGAUUCCCGAAGGCACUCCCGUAUCUCUACAGGAUUCCAGACAUGUCAAGGC